GCUACCAUCAACACGAACUUCUCAAUGUAGUACCAACAAACGAUAAUUCAUGUGUGAUCCCGUGGCAUGUGAAACUGUUCAAAGUUAUAAUUUUACUAAGCAAUUAUUUAUUGAUUAUACAAAUUAAAUACUGUCGUGCUAUUUAAGAUUAAUAGAUUGUCACCAUAAAAUUUAAAAUGAUUGUUUUAUUAUUUGAUAUCUUCCAGCAGAUGUUUUUUGACCUACCGGGCAACAACGAACGGAUUAACCUAACCAAGGAAAUUAAUACCGGAAUCAUCAUGUUCAAAAAAUGCUUAUCCAGUCGUGGAACAACACGAUUAGUGACACCGUACUAGUGACGCUGUGCGCAUUAUACUCUCUGGUUGCAGAAUUGAUUUUUUUUUCUAUUUGAUACUAAUGUUUGGAUGAAAAUCUAAAAUUGGCCGUGUCAAACAGAUCAUCAUGACAAAGCGUACCGUUUUUAGCAUCUGAUAAGCUAUGAAGGGAUGAAAGCUGUUUCAAACUACGAAGCUUGGUAGGAAACGAAAAAGCCGAACUACGUUCUCGUGACUAACAACGUUUUGGAUUAAUCAUUUCUCGGAGAUGCUUCUCCGUUAAUGGAAAUUUCGGCAUACCGGGACAUUCGGCCACGGACUGUCGUACCGUUUCCACCGUUUCAUUCAUACGAUUUAAGGUUAAUGAAACCUUCCAUGAAAUUGCACUACCUAGAGAAACACGACGGGUGUGUCGAUAGAUCGAACAUUGCCGCAGACACAGCUGGCCAGUGGACCCGAUGAUCUCGAUAUCAGCCUUUAGAACUGACAGAAAAACAAACAAGUUAAAAUCAUGGCGGCAUCAUCUCUUUCAACAAGUACUACAUUGUAUUAUAUACAAUAUAGCAAAAUUUCAUCCAGCUCAACUAAGAGAUGCAACAUCUAUCUGGAAUUCCCUUAGGUGAAGUCAUCAAGUAAUAAGUCUUCUAAUGGUGCUAACAGUUAACUGUUGUACCGGUGGUGAACAUAACGAAAAUUCGUUACGAUGAUGUUUUUGCCUGCUGAAAAUAAGGUUGGCAAAAGGCGCAUCUUGGCCCGUCGAGAAUUGUCGAGCGAAAACUCAUAAUCUGCCAUCUUCCGUGACUUCCUGGUGGAAGCAAACAAAUGUGGCAAAGAGGUUAAUCCACCGAUAAAACUUCGGAAAAGCAAUUAAUUGUUGUGUAGAGCCCCGAGACAAUUGCUAAGCAAUGACAUAUUGCAACUUAAUAUAAAAUAUUUUUUGGCUAGGAAAAUGUAUAUUCUACAAUAAUAAGGCAGGAAGUGCAUUUUUGUGUACUUAUAUUUUAGGCACCAUUAGAUUUGUAUGAUUCAAGAAUCGCUAAGAAGAACAGCACGGCUAAGCAGUUCAAUUGAGACAAAUAUAUUCAGGCAGAAGGGCAAAGAUUCAGGAUUUGUCAACAGUAAUUCUUUA